AUGCACGCUGGCGGCGUGCUUCACCCAUGCAAGUCGCACGAUGAAGCCCAGCUUGCUGGGUGGAUUAGUGGCGAACGGGUGAGUAACACGUGAGUAACCUGCCCUUAACUCUGGGAUAAGCCUGGGAAACUGGGUCUAAUACCGGAUAGGAGCGUCCACCGCAUGGUGGGUGUUGGAAAGAUUUAUCGGUUUUGGAUGGACUCGCGGCCUAUCAGCUUGUUGGUGAGGUAAUGGCUCACCAAGGCGACGACGGGUAGCCGGCCUGAGAGGGUGACCGGCCACACUGGGACUGAGACACGGCCCAGACUCCUACGGGAGGCAGCAGUGGGGAAUAUUGCACAAUGGGCGCAAGCCUGAUGCAGCGACGCCGCGUGAGGGAUGACGGCCUUCGGGUUGUAAACCUCUUUCAGUAGGGAAGAAGCGAAAGUGACGGUACCUGCAGAAGAAGCACCGGCUAACUACGUG
rnacentral:rRNA from 1 species